rnacentral:rRNA from 1 species
GAUGAACGCUGGCGGCGUGCCUAAUACAUGCAAGUCGAACGGAAAGGCCCUGCUCUUGUGGGGUUCACGAGUGGCGAACGGGUGUGUAACACGCGUGUAACCCCCCCCUGUCUUUGGGAUAACUCUAGGAAACUGCGGCUAAAAUCGCAUAGGAUCUCUUGCUGCACGGGGGGGGUUGGAAAGUUUCGGCGGUUGGGGAUCGACUCGCGGCUUAUCCGCUUCUUGGUGGGGUAGUGGCGUACAAAGGUUUUGACGGGUAGCCGGCCUGAGAGGGUGGCCGGCCACAUUGGGACUGAGAUACGGACCAGAAUCCUACGGGAGGCAGCAGUGGGAAAUAUUGCACAAUGGGCGGAAGCCUGAUGCAGCAACGCCGCGUGCGGGAUAACGGCCUUCGGGUUGUAAACCGCUUUCGCCUGUGACGAGGCGUGAGUGACGGUAAUGGGUAAAGAAGCACCGGCUAACUACGUG